ensembl:rRNA 5S_rRNA 5S ribosomal RNA
GCCUACGACCAGAUCACCCUGAAUGCGCCCGAUCUCGUCUGAUCUCGGAAGCUAAGCAUGGUCGAGCCUGCUUAGUAUUUGGAUGGGAGACUGCCUGGGAAUACCAGGUGUUGUAGGCU